CCCUGUGAUGGCAUGUAAUCUUUGAGACCUGAACAUUUUCAUGUUGAAAACUAGCAACUGCUGAGGGC